CUGUAACAUUUUGAAAUGGAAAAGUGAAGAGGGGCCAUGAGGAAAAGACGAGUAUUAAAAACGACUUAACAUUUAAAACAGGACUACCCAUCCCACCCUGCUGUCUGGAAGUAUGAUCUCAGUAGGGUCACUGGUUGCUAUGGCAACAUCACAACGUUUGAUGUAAGAGCUAUGUCCAUUAAAAUGACAAUAGACAGAAAGCAAGGAACUGAUGAGAGAAACCAGAGGAGAAGACUAUAUAAAUCGUUUAUUACAAGGCAUUUCAACACAUAUGAAUCCACUAAUAUUCCCUGGUCCUUUGCUGGAAUGAUGCAGACCAGCACACAGGAGCCAGGGCAUUACAUCAUCACUCCUGUGCACACCGCACUGACCUUGUCGCCACAGCAACCAUCUUUACCUGACAUCACUGUCUGUGCGGAGAUUCUGAGUGCAAAUCAUUCUGAUUGGGCAUUUUUAUUGCGCGUUCUUUAUUUCAACAAAUCACUGAGCAGUUCAAGGAAAACAGUUUAACGACUAUUGCAGGUUCAUAGAUUCAAAUAAAAACAGGCUGUCCCGACUUUAAGGUGGCCAGUAAACUCAUUUAUUACAAUUCUGAUUCAUGAGCCUGAAACCACUGACUUCGAAGGAGACUACGGAGAGGGUGAAGUUGUGUGAUGUCACAGUUGCCAUGGAAACGGUUGAUGAACACUGAUUGGUAAUGAGCCACAUUGUACAAGGGUCAAAGACUGAAACUGUAAAAUAUGGCAGCACUCACCAUCCCAGCAAACCUGACCACUGGAACACAGGCCUCCAUCAAACAGACAACCUUGACAGAGAGAAAU